rnacentral:rRNA from 1 species
UUCCUGAAGGCAGGCGAGGAGGAGUAGGUACGGGCGUGUGGUCAGCAAGGGGUGUCGUGCCCGCCCGGCGGGUAGGAGGGCGGCGGAGGGCGGCAAGCGGCGAGCGUAGGAGGAGGAGAGCCGAACCAGAGGGGGUAGGAGGGCAGCAAGCGAUCGGCGGGAGGGCGGUAUACGGCAAGCGAUCUCUACGCCCGCCUGCCAACCCGACCGCUCGCCACCGUCCAAGCAGCGCGCUGUCCAGCGGACCCUACGAUCGGCACCUACGCCCAGUUCGGCUGAGCCCGCCGCCGCGUAGAAGCCCUCUCCUCUCCCCUUUUCUUCCUCUCAGGACCCCCGCCGACUCCUCCACGAGCGGCCGCUCGCCCGAGGCUGCCGGCGGACCGCGCGCCCCAACCUACCCCCGCAAAGGGCCGUCAGCGCCGGCAGGAGCGCUGUGGUUGAUCGGCUUUCGUAGCGGCGAGGGGCGGCGGGCGGCUGCGCUGCAGCGGACGGGGAGGAUGGGUGCGCUGUUACAGCGAGGAGCCGAGGAGGGGCGCGCUGUGGCGGAAGGGGUUCUCGCGGGUGGGGCAGCAGGAGGAUGAGGAGUCACGGAGGAAGAGCGGGCGGGCGUUGCGGAACGGAACGUCGCACCGGACUGUGUGCGUGCCGGGUGUGACCUCGUGCGGCGGGGAGCGACGGGCCAAAAAGAAGAAAAGGCAGCGUGACACGCUUUAGACGGGGUACGAGCCAGACCUAGAUUUAUUCGCCAACUCUCUCUCUCUCUCUCUCGUGUCGCUUCUGCGUGUGUGACACCUAACACCUUCUCCUUCUCCUGUACGACAACCUAGGCUCGUGGACAGCCUCCUCGUAUCCGUAUUCCUCCGUAGGUACUCUGUUCAAAAAAAAUUAAGCAUAAAGAUACAGACGUACUACUGUAAUCAAUUGACCAUUAUCAUUCAGUGACGGUAUGUAGUGACUACUUUGUCAACAAAAAAGGGUAAAUCGUUUCUUUAAUACUAGACAAGGAGAUGGUUAUUAACAUUUAAUCAGUACUGUGGGUUAGAUCGUGGACAGUACAACAAACUAAACAGAGAGAUAUAUAUACAAGAGUACUCACCAGUAUCAAAAUGUACUGCUAAAGGUCUUAUACUUAUGUAACUUUCAAUUAAACUAAAAGUAUUUACACAGGUUAAAACCAACAUAUUUAGUUAAAAAUUAAACCGUAGGGUAAGGUACGGUUCUUAGUUUACUGUUCGACUUAAACAAGGAUACAUUGCCCCAAGUCAUCGAAGGGAGAGGACUUAAUAAGAACAACAUUAAAGUACCAAUACGUUAAUAGUUAGAAGAGAAUGAGUAAAGUGCACAGGUAUCAAUCGGUCCGUUGACUUCCACCCAGUACAUAAAAUCGUGUCCAAGCUACACCGCCAACAAUUGAAUAAGGUUGACACUUUUUACCAUCAACAACGGCCUACUUAAAGACCAGAGCGUGGAGGAAUAAAGACCAGAACGUGGUACCUGCCGGACUUGCCGCGACUGCGCACGAAGAGGCCUCCUCCCGGUACACUGCCGGUCUGGCCGUCUGUAUCGGUCCUAUACACCAUGUUCCCUAAGCUCCGUUUAACUCCUUCCUCGACCUCGUCCACCACCUAAUUCCUUUCUCGACCUCGUCUCUGCCUAAUCUCGACGAAUUCACGUCUAAAAAUCUGAUCGGACGAACUCAUGUACAAGAAUCUAACGUAUACCUUCCCUUGAAUGCACGUACAACAAACCUAACGUCCUACCUUCCCUUGAAUUCACGUACAAAAGCCUAACAUGUACUUGAUUCAAGGACGACUUUUUACCACUGACGUAAAUCUCGACCGUAACCACGAACCAGUCUGUACCACAGAAACAUUGAUGUGAUUCAAGGGACCAAGAACGAAUUUUUACAAAUGUUCUAUUGUAAAGAUUUGUACUAGAUCUUCGGGAGUUUGGUCUAGUUCGAGCCAUGUAACCUUAUUUUUCUUACUGUUCCGUCAAUCUUCAAGUCUUAAGAUAUAUCCUAUAUAUAUGAACCAACAUGGUAUAAAUCGACUUGAUUUCAUCUACGAGAUUGACACAAGUGUACUAAAACUUGUCCGGGUACCUCUCUUCGGGAUUACAUGUGGGUUCCAAGUCCCUCCACUAGGUCCAAAAGUUCUUCCAAUCUUCCUCCCACUCACCUAAUCAGCGGCUAAUCACGGAAGUAACAACAACUUAUUUGACCGAAGUCGAGACUACGUACACUUGACACUCCACAAAAACCAUACCCUUACUACUCCAAGACUACCAGAUAUGGACUAACGUUCCAAACCCAUACUUAAUUUAAACGCAGGUUUGAACCGUUAAUAGAAGAUACUUAAAUCCGUAACAAGUGUACAGUAAACUCAGUUUGUCUUUAUACGAAGACUUUACGAGGUUAAACGACGAAAAGUGUAAAUCUCUUCCAACAAAAUAAAGCAUAAGUAGUCCAAUACGAUUUCGUCUUCCGUAACACGACUGUAAAAAAUUCGGAAUGAACUAAAACUAUACACCAAUCGGCAAACGGGAACGUGGUUUUUGUUUGUGAUAAGGAUACAGAAUGAAUCUUCGUUUCCACGUAAUUAAUAAUUGACCAAACUAUAUACAAGGUACCACCCACCGUAUCUUUUGUUUCGAAGAAAGAUUCUGUACUACAAGACAAUGAUCGUUUUUUCACAAUCUUAAAUAUUCAUGAAUAAGUUUCUUUUAUUUUUGACUGACCUCUUGACAAACGAAGAUGGUAAGGAAAGUUCAAUUCCGUUUUUAGUAUAACCGUACAUCGAACACGAGGACGUCUCAAGAAAAACAAAACUAAAAAACAUUACAAUUUCCGUAUAGCUUAUUACUUUAACGUUAUCAAUACUAGGGAUCCGGGCUGUUUUUUGACUGCUCUCAUAAUCCACCACCGUCCAUAGUCCGAUGUUGUCGACUUAACGUUCAGAAGACUACUCGAAAACGCCGUUCCUCCUCGUUAGAAUGUCACGUUUUUACUUCUUCCCCGUUAAGGAGAAGUACCACGAACACGAACCCCCAUACGUAAAAAAUAAACGUAACUUGAAUAUGAAGAAACGGGGUUCCUCUUCCAAAGUACGGGGUUCUUCAUCUUAUGUAUGUCUAUCCGUGGGUAGCCCUAGUUCUUUGGUUUCAGACCCGGGACAAUUGAUGAGGGAGGCAAGGUUUUAUCUACUGGGUUGAAACAUGAUUUCAAUUAUGUUUCAACUCAGCAGAUAAAACCUUACCUCCCUCAUGUUUCGUUCAGCUACGGUCGUAUGUAUACUCUUUGACUACCCGGACAGUCUCGCUUGGGGACCAACUUUAAACAGUUUUCUGACCCGCCAUUUGACUCACCAUCAGAAUCAUAGAAUUAUGUGUUGAACGCAUGAUACCCUUAACACAAAUACAACAAUACCCUAAUACCUCAAUACUAGAUUUUUUUAAUACCUCAAUACUAGAUUUUUUCUUGAUACCUC